rnacentral:siRNA from 1 species
CCGACAUGCGGUGGUGAACUUGA